rnacentral:snRNA from 1 species
GUAUGUGAGGGCAAUCUGGCUGUGACAUCUGUCACCCCAUUGAUCGCCAGGGUUUAUUCAGCUGAUCUGGCUGGCUAGGCAGGUGUCCUUUCCUCCCUCACUGCUCCAUGUGUGUCCCUCCCAAGCUGCAUGCUUGGUCAAAGAGGAGUGCCUUUCCCAAAUAGGGACAGACCAGUCUUUGGUUGAGGUUAUAUGAGUAGCUGUGCUCCCCUGCUAGAACCUACAGACAAACUUUUUUUUUUAAAGAUUUUUAAAAAUAUUUAUUUAUUUAUUCCUUU